rnacentral:rRNA from 1 species
AGUCGAACGAGAAUCUGAUGAAGGAGUUUUCGGACAACUGAUUCAGAGGAAAGUGGCGGACGGGUGAGUAACGCGUGAGGAACCUGCCUUGAAGAGGGGGACAACAGUUGGAAACGACUGCUAAUACCGCAUGACGCAUAGGGAUCGCAUGAUCUUUAUGCCAAAGAUUUAUCGCUCCAAGAUGGCCUCGCGUCUGAUUAGCUAGUUGGCGGGGUAACGGCCCACCAAGGCGACGAUCAGUAGCCGGACUGAGAGGUUGAACGGCCACAUUGGGACUGAGAUACGGCCCAGACUCCUACGGGAGGCAGCAGUGGGGAAUAUUGGGCAAUGGGCGCAAGCCUGACCCAGCAACGCCGCGUGAAGGAAGAAGGCUUUCGGGUUGUAAACUUCUUUUAAGAGGGAAGAGCAGAAGACGGUACCUCUAGAAUAAGCCACGGCUAACUACGUGCCAGCAGCCGCGGUAAUACGUAGGUGGCAAGCGUUGUCCGGAUUUACUGGGUGUAAAGGGCGUGCAGCCGGGUCUGCAAGUCAGAUGUGAAAUCCAUGGGCUCAACCCAUGAACUGCAUUUGAAACUGUAGAUCUUGAGUGUCGGAGGGGCAAUCGGAAUUCCUAGUGUAGCGGUGAAAUGCGUAGAUAUUAGGAGGAACACCAGUGGCGAAGGCGGAUUGCUGGACGAUAACUGACGGUGAGGCGCGAAAGUGUGGGGAGCAAACAGGAUUAGAUACCCUGGUAGUCCCCACUGUAAACGAUGAAUACUAGGUGUGCGGGGACUGACCCC